rnacentral:lncRNA from 1 species
AUGAUAUCAUCUCUGCUUCUGCCUCCCCACCCCCCUUUACUUCCAGUCCUUUCCUGGUUGGGCAAGCCCCCCUCCGUGGCACCCCACCCCAGGAUACCCCGUUGCCUUGGAGACCACAAGUUUUCAACCUCGUUGUCUGAAGGAAUGGAUGGUGCAGUCUCUGUGGGAAGUUGGUCCACCUCUGUUCCUGUCUUCUGGACUCACUAUGUGGAUUCAGAGUCAAGAGAAAGUCCCACAGAAGAUCAAACUACAUCAGGGGGAUCAAACCCAAGAGCCAGAAGAGGACUUCGGGAGAAGCCCUGGAUCACUGGUUUUUCUUUCCACGGGGAGUUAUCUGAACGCCAGCUGAUGUUACCUAGAUGGGCUCCUGCAGUGAGCGGUAUCUACUCAAGACAAAACGGAGAUCUGGAGAGACUGUCUAACUUGCCAAUGUUUUAA